ACGACCACAUCACGUUGAAUCACUGGCUCUCUCAUACGAUCACCGAAGUUAAGCCACGUCGAGCCUGGUCAGUACUUGAUGGGUGGCCACUUGGAAAUGCCAGAUGCUGUAAG